rnacentral:rRNA from 1 species
UGAGGAAUAUUGGUCAAUGGUCGCAAGACUGAACCAGCCAUGCCGCGUGCAGGAAGACGGUCCUAUGGAUUGUAAACUGCUUUUAUACAGGAAGAAACCCUCCCACGUGUGGGAGCUUGACGGUACUGUAGGAAUAAGGAUCGGCUAACUCCGUGCCAGCAGCCGCGGUAAUACGGAGGAUCCAAGCGUUAUCCGGAAUCAUUGGGUUUAAAGGGUCCGUAGGCGGUCUUAUAAGUCAGUGGUGAAAGCC